rnacentral:lncRNA from 1 species
UCCUUCCACUGACAUGUUUCUGGUUUCGACUCAAUCCCAUAAAUAAAUAAAUAUGAAAAUCCUCAUAUCUUGUGAUCUAAAAAUAUUCAUGCUUUUUUAACAAUGCAGCAUGAAGCCUUCAUUUACAUUCCCGUUCAGGAUCUGAUGAUGUACAUCAUAUAAACUACAACUUUGAAUAUAACUAAACUACAUUAUAUGUCUAGUGCUUCCGAAUGUGAUAAAGAUCAACAGCUCUCUUUAGCUCAUCUUUACUCUUAAACAUCAGACUUAUAGAAAAUUCAGUUA